GGGCCCGCACAAGCGGAGGAACAUGUGGUUUAAUUCGAUGAUACGCGAGGAACCUUACCCGGGCUCGAACGGCAGAUGAAUAUAUAUGAAAGUAUAUAGCUAGCAAUAGCAUUUGUCGAGGUGCUGCAUGGUUGUCGUCAGCUCGUGCCGUGAGGUGUCGGCUUAAGUGCCAUAACGAGCGCAACCCUUACCGUUGGUUGCCAUCAGGUCAAGCUGGGGACUCCAAUGGGACUGCCGCCGCAAGGUGUGAGGAAGGUGGGGAUGACGUCAAAUCAGCACGGCCCUUACGUCCGGGGCUACACACGUGUUACAAUGGCCGGUACAGAGGGCAGCUACACAGCGAUGUGAUGCGAAUCUCGUAAAGCCGGGUCUCAGUUCGGAUCGGAGUCUGCAACCCGACUCCGUGAAGCCGGAUUCGCUAGUAAUCGCGCAUCAGCCAUGGCG
rnacentral:rRNA from 1 species